CACGCAGGUGCUGCCCAGUGCUGAGACUGAUGACGUCAAGCCACCUGUCACUAAGGACACCAGGAGGGGCUGCGCUGGGGAUGGACUGGGGCUGCUUUUGAAACCUCUGUGCUGCCCUGCACGGAGCUGGGCUCCUGGGU
rnacentral:lncRNA from 1 species